rnacentral:rRNA from 1 species
UACGUAGGUGGCAAGCGUUGUCCGGAUUUACUGGGCGUAAAGAGCGCGCAGGCGGUCGAUUAAGUCGAGUGUGAAAGCCCCCGGCUCAACUGGGGAGGGUCGCUUGAUACUGGUCGACUCGAAGGCAGGAGAGGGAAGUGGAAUUCCCGGUGUAGUGGUGAAAUGCGUAGAUAUCGGGAGGAACACCAGUGGCGAAGGCGACUCCCUGGCCUGUUCUUGACGCUGAGGCGCGAAAGCUAGGGGAGCAAACGGG